rnacentral:rRNA from 1 species
AGAGUUUGAUCAUGGCUCAGAAUCAACGCUGGCGGCGUGCCUAACACAUGCAAGUCGAGCGAGAAAAGGGGGGCAACUCCCUGAGUACAGCGGCGCACGGGUGAGUAACACGUGGGUAAUCUGCCCUGAAGUGGGGAAUAACACCGGGAAACCGGUGCUAAUACCGCAUAUGAUCACGGUGUCUGCGGACACAGGGAUGAAAGGAGCAAUUCGCUUCAGGAGGAGCCCGCGGCUGAUUAGCUAGUUGGUGAGGUAAUGGCUCACCAAGGCUACGAUCAGUAUCCGGUCUGAGAGGACGGUCGGACACACUGGAACUGAGACACGGUCCAGACUCCUACGGGAGGCAGCAGUGGGGAAUUUUUCGCAAUGGGGGCAACCCUGACGAAGCAACGCCGCGUGGAUGAUGAAGUAUCUCGGUACGUAAAAUCCUUUCGACAGGGAAGAAACCGCAAGGUUGACGGUACCUGUAGAAGAAGCCCCGGCUAACUCCGUGCCAGCAGCCGCGGUAAUACGGGGGGGGCUAGCGUUGUUCGGAAUUACUGGGCGUAAAGGGCGCGUAGGCGGUCUGCUAAGUUGGAUGUGAAAACUCUGGGCUUAACCCAGAGCCUGCAUUCAAUACUGACAGGCUAGAGUUCUGGAGGGGAUAGCGGAAUUCCUGGUGUAGCGGUGAAAUGCGUAGAUAUCAGGAGGAACACCGGUGGCGAAGGCGGCUAUCUGGACAGAGUCUGACGCUGAGGCGCGAAAGCUAGGGGAGCAAACAGGAUUAGAUACCCUAGUAGUCC